rnacentral:tRNA from 1 species
UGGCUCAGUUGGUAGAGCAUGGUGUUUGCAACGCCAUGGUUGUGGGUUUGAUUCCCAC